UAUAUCAAUGUCCUCUCCAGGUGGGUCGAGGCCAGAGCCUUCCAAUGUGGGCUAGAUUGUGUAGCCAUAGGUGCCGGUUUGGGCUGUCACUGUACGGGUGGUGGUGUCCGUCUGGUGCGUGGGACAAAGGGGAUGAUGGUGGCCGGGUCUCUGGCACUCUCAGGAAGCGUAUGAUUAUCGGUUGGAAUGGGUAGUCCCAAUUUUCUCAAAAAAGAGGCUGCGUCGGCCAUGGUGUGGAGGACAUGCGUAGUUCCUUCCGCGGUGACCGUUAAGGAGUUGUCGGUUCCCCAUCUGUAUGGCAGUCCUGCCGUGCGUAGUUGGGAUGUUACCGGUGCGUAGGUUUUCCUCCAUAGCAGUGUUGCUUUAGUGAGGUCUUGGAAGAAGUUCAAGGUGUCAUUCUCAAAUAAAAGAGGGGUUUUGCCCUUCACGGCUGACAUGACAUGUAUUUUGUCUUGUACUGAGUGGAAGCGCAGGAUGACAUCCCGGUUCAGGUUGGUAUUAGUGUUGGUGGUAUUGGGGAUGCGAUAUAAACUGUCCACUGUGAUUUUGCGGGCCAGCGUGGGAGGUAAUAUAGAUGUCAAGAGGCGUCGGGUGUAGUGGGGAAGUUCCUCCGCGGAUAUUGCCGUAGGAAUACCCCUUAUUUUGAUGUUUGCGCGGCGUUGUCUAUCCUCUAGUAUUAUGAGUUUUGCGUUCAGGGUAGUCUGGUGCGUUUGUAAUUGGUGGAUAGAGUCCUGCAUGGUUUGCAUGGCAGAUUGUGUAUCUGCUAUAGCCCCCUCUGUGGUCUUGACUCUCUCUGUUACGGCCUGUAGCUGUGUUGUAAAUACAGCUAAAUCUGCAGCCAGGAGCUUGUGGAUAUCAGCUAAUAAAACCUUCAGGUCUCCCCUAGUUGUUGGGGCUGAUUCAUCCAGAGGGUCCGCUUGUGCGGGUCUUACCACCUGGGGGUGAUGUGGUACCUCCAUCUCGUGGCGGUCCGGUUCCGGUUCUGUGUCCGGUUGGUCUACGGCCUGAGUGUGUUUGGGCUUCUGGAGUAGCGCCCCAAUGUCCCUGGUAUCCGACCCUGUGGUGGGUCUCUGUGAUUUACGGCCCAUGGUGAGUGUGGUGGGCGAUGUUUGUGAUGGGGACGCCCUCGGCCGUUCCGCAGGGUCUCCGCCAAAGAGUGACGCGAGGCUGGGGAUUUGGAGAGGGUGGUAGGCCUCGGUUUUCCGUCGCCGCUUAGGCUGUUUUUGCGGCUGUAAGAAGG